CACGGGGGGAGCAAGCGUUGUUCGGAAUCACUGGGCGUAAAGGGCGUGUAGGCGGUCAAGUAAGUGGAAUGUGAAAGCCCCCGGCUUACCCGGGGAUCUGCAUCCCAAACUGCUUGGCUUGAGUACGGGAGAGGAUAGGGGAAUUCCUGGUGUAGCAGUGAAAUGCGUAGAGAUCGUAAGGAAGACCAGUGGCGAAGGCGGGUCUCUGGACAGUUCCUGACACUGAGGCACGAAGGCCAGGGGAGCAAACGGG
rnacentral:rRNA from 1 species